rnacentral:tRNA from 1 species
GCAGUUCUAUCUAGGGAAACAGACGGACUUAAAAUCCGUUGGCCCAAAAGGCCCGUGCCGGUUCGAGUCCGGCCAUCGGCA